rnacentral:rRNA from 1 species
UAGAAUUGACGGGACCGCACAAGCGGUGGAUGAUGUGGUUUAAUUCGAUGCAACGCGAAAACCUUACCACUUUGACAUGUACGGAAUCCUUUAGAGAUAGAGGAGUGCUCGAAAGAGAGCCGUAACACAGGUGCUGCAUGGCUGUCGUCAGCUCGUGUCGUGAGAUGUUGGGUUAAGUCCUGCAACGAGCGCAACCCUUGUCAUUAGUUGCUACAUUUAGUUGGGCACUCUAAUGAGACUGCCGGUGACAAGCCGGAGGAAGGUGGGGAUGACGUCAAGUCCUCAUGGCCCUUAUAGGUGGGGCUACACACGUCAUACAAUGGCCGGUACAGAGGGUAGCCAACCCGCGAGGGGGAGCCAAUCCCACAAAGCCGGUCGUAGUCCGGAUCGCAGUCUGCAACUCGACUGCGUGAAGUCGGAAUCGCUAGUAAUCGCGGAUCAGCAUGUCGCGGUGAAUACGUUCCCGGGUCUU